UACGGAGGGUGCAAGCGUUACUCGGAAUCACUGGGCGUAAAGAGCGCGUAGGCGGGAUAGUCAGUCAGGUGUGAAAUCCUAUGGCUUAACCAUAGAACUGCAUUUGAAACUACUAUUCUAGAGUGUGGGAGAGGUAGGUGGAAUUCUUGGUGUAGGGGUAAAAUCCGUAGAGAUCAAGAGGAAUACUCAUUGCGAAGGCGACCUGCUGGAACAUUACUGACGCUGAUUGCGCGAAAGCGUGGGGAGCAAACAGGAUUAGAUACCCUGGUAGUCCACGCCCUAAACGAUGGAUGCUAGUUGUUGGAGGGCUUAGUCUCUCCAGUAAUGCAGCUAACGCAUUAAGCAUCCCGCCUGGGGAGUACGGUCGCAAGAUUA
rnacentral:rRNA from 1 species